GCUUGUCUCAAAGAUUAAGCCAUGCAUGUCUAAGUAUAAAUAGUAUACAGUGAAACUGCGAAUGGCUCAUUAAAACAGUUAUAGUUUAUUUGAUAAUUGAAAAUUACAUGGAUAACCGUAGUAAUUCUAGAGCUAAUACAUGCAUCAAGCCCUGACUUCGGAAGGGGUGUAUUUAUUAGAUGGAAACCAAUGCGGGGCAACCCGGAAAAUGGUGAUUCAUAAUAACUUUCGGAUCGUUUACGAUGCAUCAUUCAAGUUUCUGCCCUAUCAGCUUUGGAUGGUAGGGUAUUGGCCUACCAUGGCUUUAACGGGUAACGGAGAAUUAGGGUUCGAUUCCGGAGAGGGAGCCUGAGAAAUGGCUACCACAUCCAAGGAAGGCAGCAGG
rnacentral:rRNA from 1 species